GUCCGGAUGGUGCAGUGGUUAGUGCAUCUGCCUAAUGAGUAGGAGCCCUGGGUUCAAAUCCCAGUCCAGCACA